AACGUUCCCUAAAGCACUUUUUUGCGCACUGUGCCGCACAUUUAAACCAAAAUUGCAAGAAAACGAUAAGAGCUAGAAGUUUUGUGUCAAAAAUCGAAUUGUAGAGUGGAACAGGGGUAACAACUUUGCCGAAGAAAGAAUUUUAAUUCAUUACGCAAGUUUCAAAGUUAAUUGACAAAAUCAAAUUAAAACACACUACUUUUGAGUUAUUUGCUCUAGAAAACUUAGUUAUUUAACUAAACCAAUCGAUUAAAAGAAGUCAUUUGAUAGAAAAUUCAAUAAUCUUUCGAAUAAGGGUAAAAAACUGCGAUAAGUUCGACCAUUUUAUAGUUAUAGCAAGUUAAGGCAAUGAGAGUCAAAAACAUGGGAAGUUCAAUAACUACGUAACGGUUGAGAUUUGACCAUAUGCGUAGAACAUUUUUUUUUCACCAUUUUAUGGUCCUCUAUCACCCUUUAAAAAGUUUGCACUCGCGAACGUAACACCCUGUAUAUUAACAACUUACACGCUAAGGUCAGUUUACCCAAAUAUGGGUGAAAUUUACUCAUAAUUGAUGAAAAGUACACAUUCGCAUUUUAUGGGUAAUGCGGCUUUACUCAAAAAUAGGUAAAGUCACUUUACUCAUAUGUGGGUAGAAUAUUUUUACUCAUAUAUGGGUAAAUUUUUGCUAUUUUUUUUCUAAAUAUUUCGAUAGAUUUCAGAUGAUUCAUAAAUAUUAAGUACAUUAAAAAUAGAAACAAAUAAACAUCAAAUUUUAUUUUACAAGAACACAAACACAACACUAACCAAUUAAAUUAAAAUCUCCGGUAGCUGGAUACAGGCGACAUCAGCUACACACCAAAUUUUCAUUGGAUGUUCCAGCAAUCUUUUUUGCUGGAUGUUCAUCAGCAAUGCAAUGUUUUGCUGAUACUCAGCUGUGGCAAGAUAUUUUGCCGAAAUUCAGCUUGCUUAUUUGCUGAUUUUGUUUCAGCAAUUACUUUUCUGCUGCUAAUCAGCAAUUCGUUUGACAUUCAGCAAUUGAUUUGGCACAUCGCCGUAAAUCAGCAAAAAUGUUUACAGAACGCAUAUCAGCAAUCAAUAUUUUACUGAACGCCAGCAAAAUUUCCAAGCUGUCACUUGCAAACGUCAGAGAAUUUCAUUCCGUACCGAACGCGUGUUUCUUGCUUCUUUGUGCAUGUUGAACCCGGAAUUCUUAAUUUUUGGCCAAUAGUAAUAGGAAUUUUCGAUUAGAAGACACAACAAAAUGAGAGGAGACGGUUAUGCUCGCAAGUUUGCGAUUCUACGUUAACGCCCGGAUACCAGCGGCUUCAACAUACUCAAACAAAACACUGUACAAAUCGAGGUAAAAAUAUGCGGAAACAUGCAUGAACAAUUUAUUCAAUAAAUAAUUGCUUAAAACGCUU